rnacentral:lncRNA from 1 species
AGAUUGUGCUCUGAAUUUUGUUUCUGCCUAAGAGUAAUUUAUAAGACAUGCAUUUGAGUUAGGUUUUAGAUUUUUUACCAAUGAACACAGGGCACUAGAGCCACUUCAGUCUAAGUUCGUGCUCUUUAAUGAUUUUUAACACUCCACAGAAGGACUGGUUUUUUUUUUUUUUUUUUUUUUUUAGUAUUUAUUGAUCAUUCUUGGGGGAUUUGGCAGGGCCAUAGGACAAUAGUGGAGGGAAGGUCAGCAGAUAAACAUGUGAACAAGGGUCUCUGCUU